CCUGAGGCCCCAGAGGAAGCCAGGAUAAAGGAGAAGUUUGCCUCAGUUCACGAGGACUGGGCUAAGGACCAAUUAAGAAAUCUGGACAUCCAUAAAUCCAUAGGUCCUGAUGGGAUGCACCCGCAGGUGCUGAAGGAGCUGGCAGAAGUAUUUGCUAUGCCACUCUCCAUUAUCUUUGGUAUUGGAACACUUACUGUGACUCCUCAGAAGUAAACUUCUG
rnacentral:lncRNA from 1 species